UUCCCUUGCCUGUGGGCAAAGAGACACUUUGUUGGUGUUAAUCUUAUAUCAGUCAGGGGCAGAGCAGAUGGCCGUCCUUUGCUUAUCCUAGCUUGAUGCCUGGCUUGGUGGCCAAAGCUGUCGUAUGCCCAAAGACUCAUAA